rnacentral:misc_RNA from 1 species
AUUACUCGGAGCCAAUCACGGACAUUGUUCUUCUUUAGAUACUUCUUAGUAAAGUAUUUCAAAUACCUCUUGGAUUGGAGAAGGUGGUAUCGAAGGUGAUGGUGAUUUUAGUUUUGUGUCAGCCUUUGAUGCGCUCCUGAAGAAACUUAGGGAUCGAUGUUGUCCUCAACAAGCUUUGCGCAAUCGAUCACGAAGGCGUCUCCCUUCUUCUUUACACCCUUGGUGGCUCCCCUGUUUCCUUUACUCAUCUUCUCCG